UGACAAUGGGUGAUAAAACUGCUUAC
rnacentral:piRNA from 1 species